AUGCCAUGGCGCACGAAGCUGCACAUGGAGGAACCCCUCCCCGCCGGCGAGGGGUCCAGCCGGCAGCAGCGCGGCCGUGACGUCGUCGACCACGUCCAGGCUCCGGUGCAGGUGUCACCUACGCCGGAGCAGGUAGCUCCAUUUAUGUGGGCCCCGGUAGCUGCUCUGGCUCCUCAGACGGAGCAGGUGUCUCCUCUGCCGCGGGUGACGCCUCCGGUGCCCGAGCCUGUGGUCACCGGCGACGUCAACAAAGACGAUGUAGCUCCUCUGGCUUCUCUGCCGGAGCAGGUGGUGGCUCCUCAGCCUCAGCCGGGUGUUCGUCUGCCGCGGUUGUUGCCUCCCCUGCCCCCACCUGUGGUCGUCGCCGACGAGAACGAAGAAGAGUCCUAA
rnacentral:rRNA from 1 species